rnacentral:rRNA from 1 species
AGUGAACGCUGGCGGCAGGCCUAACACAUGCAAGUCGAACGGCAGCACAAGAGAGCUUGCUCUCUGGGUGGCGAGUGGCGGACGGGUGAGGAAUGCAUCGGAAUCUGCCCAUUUGUGGGGGAUAACCUCGGGAAACCGGGACUAAUACCGCAUACGACCUACGGGUGAAAGCAGGGGAUCUUCGGACCUUGCGCAGAUGGAUGAGCCGAUGCCGGAUUAGCUAGUUGGAGGGGUAAAGGCCCACCAAGGCGACGAUCCGUAGCUGGUCUGAGAGGAUGAUCAGCCAAACUGGGAAUGAGAAACGGCCCAGACUCCUAAGGGAGGCAGCAGUGGGGAAUAUUGGACAAUGGGCGCAAGCCUGAUCCAGCCAUGCCGCGUGUGUGAAGAAGGCCUUCGGGUUGUAAAGCACUUUUGUUGGGAAAGAAAAGCAGCCGGUUAAUACCCGGUUGUCAUGACGGUACCCAAAGAAUAAGCACCGGCUAACUUCGUG